UAGCAUUUUGUAUGAGAAACAAUAGACGGUAUGUGGAAUUACACUUGUUGUGUUGUUAACUGCAAAAAUAACGGUAAAACUAGUGAUUGUAUAUUUUACAAGUUUCCAACUGCAUCACAUAAAAUAGUUCAAAGGCAAAAAUGGAUUGCUGCUGUGAAAAGAAAAAAAAAAAAUCAGAUGAUCCUGCGAGUCCAAGCUACGCGCCAACUCUAUUCCCUCCAGUUUAUCAUGCAAAGCAAGUAAAUGAAAAAGCUGUUUUGAGCAGGUACAAUCGACUCAUGAACCGAAGAAAGACUCUUCACAAGCAUAACAUCGGAGUGAAUUGUGAUACUGGAAAUCAAGUUAUUAACGACCCCAACA